CCUACGGGUGGCUGCAGUGAGGAAUAUUGGUCAAUGGGCGGGAGCCUGAACCAGCCAAGCCGCGUGAGGGAAGAAGGUACAGCGUAUCGUAAACCUCUUUUGUCGGGGAACAAAGGCGGGGACUAGUCCCCGGAUGAGGGUACCUGAAGCAAAAGCAUCGGCAAACUCCGUGCCAGCAGCCGCGGUAAUAGGGAGGAUGCGAGCGUUAUCCGGAUUUAUUUGGUUUAAAGGGGGCGCGGGCGGCGUGUUAAGUCAGAGUGAAAAGCCCGGGGCGCAACCCCGGCUAGCCGUUGAAACUGGGGGGCUGGAGUUGGAGAGAAGUAGGCGGAAUGCGCGGUGUAGCGGUGAAAUGCUUAGAUAUCGCGCAGAACCCCGAUUGCGAAGGCAGCGUACCGGCUCCACACUGACGCUGAGGCACGAAAGCGUGGGUAUCGAACAGGAUUAGAUACCCUGGUAGUC
rnacentral:rRNA from 1 species